UACGUAGGGACCAAGCGUUGUUCGGAUUUACUGGGCGUAAAGGGCGCGUAGGCGGCAAUUCAAGUCAUCUGUGAAAUCUCCGGGCUUAACUCGGAACGGUCAACUGAUACUGUGCGACUAGAGUGCAGAAGGGGCAACUGGAAUUCUCGGUGUAGCGGUGAAAUGCGUAGAUAUCGAGAGGAACACCUGCGGCGAAGGCGGGUUGCUGGGCUGACACUGACGCUGAGGCGCGAAAGCCAGGGGAGCGAACGGG
rnacentral:rRNA from 1 species